rnacentral:rRNA from 1 species
ACGGGAGGCAGCAGUGGGGGAUAUUGGACAAUGGGGGAAACCCUGAUCCAGCGACGCCGCGUGAGUGAAGAAGUAUUUCGGUAUGUAAAGCUCUAUCAGCAGGGAAGAAAAAAUCAAAAUUGUCUGUACCUGACUAAGAAGCCCCGGCUAACUACGUGCCAGCAGCCGCGGUAAUACGUAGGGGGCAAGCGUUAUCCGGAUUUACUGGGUGUAAAGGGUGCGCAGGCGGGACUGCAAGUUGGAUGUGAAAUACCGAGGCUUAACUUCGGAACUGCAUCCAAAACUGUAGUUCUUGAGUGGAGUAGAGGUAAGCGGAAUUCCGAGUGUAGCGGUGAAAUGCGUAGAUAUUCGGAGGAACACCAGUGGCGAAGGCGGCUUACUGGGCUCUAACUGACGCUGAGGCACGAAAGUGUGGGUAGCAAACAGGAUUAGAUACCCUGGUA